GGAUGUGAGGGCAAUAGGGUUGUGACAUCUGUCAUCACAUUGAUCACCAGGGUUGAUUCAGCUGAUCUGGCUGGCUAGAUGGGUGUCCCUUCCUCCCUUGCCACUCCGUGUGUGUCCCUCCAGAAGUUGCGAGUUCCAUCAAAGAAGAUGAUCAUCGCAAUAGAGGAGGACUUGUCUGCUGUCAAGAAUGUACAGGUAAAUGUACUCCCCUGCUAGAACCUCCAAACAAGCUCUCAAAAAUUUUUUUGAUGCCUUUUAUACAGUAAGGCACUGAGCCAGGCAUUAAUGAAAUGAUAAAUAACCAUUUCUUUCAGAAUAAU
ensembl:misc_RNA 7SK 7SK RNA